rfam:Oryza punctata chromosome 3, whole genome shotgun sequence.
AAAGAGUGCAGCUUUUAUGUUUAUAUCUAAUGCUUGAUAGUCCGUUUUAUCUAAAAAUUUUUUUGUUAUGAUUAUUAUUUUUAUCGUUAUUAGAUGAUAAAGCAUGAAUUGUACGUUAUGUGUGACUAAUUUUUUUAAUAUUUUUAUAAAUUUUUAAAUAAAACAGAUAGUCAAAUGUUGAACACGAAAACCCAUAACUGCAUUUAAA